GGUUAAGCGACUAAGCGUACACGGUGGAUGCCUAGGCAGUCAGAGGCGAUGAAGGGCGUGCUAAUCUGCGAAAAGCGUCGGUAAGCUGAUAUGAAGCGUUAUAACCGACGAUACCCGAAUGGGGAAACCCAGUGCAAUACGUUGCACUAUCGUUAGAUGAAUACAUAGUCUAACGAGGCGAACCGGGGGAACUGAAACAUCUAAGUACCCCGAGGAAAAGAAAUCAACCGAGAUUCCCCCAGUAGCGGCGAGCGAACGGGGAGGAGCCCAGAGUCUGAAUCAGUUUGUGUGUUAGUGGAAGCGUCUGGAAAGUCGCACGGUACAGGGUGAUAGUCCCGUACACCAAAAUGCACAGGCUGUGAACUCGAUGAGUAGGGCGGGACACGUGACAUCCUGUCUGAAUAUGGGGGGACCAUCCUCCAAGGCUAAAUACUCCUGACUGACCGAUAGUGAACCAGUACCGUGAGGGAAAGGCGAAAAGAACCCCGGCGAGGGGAGUGAAAUAGAACCUGAAACCGUGUACGUACAAGCAGUGGGAGCACCUUCGUGGUGUGACUGCGUACCUUUUGUAUAAUGGGUCAGCGACUUAUAUUUUGUAGCAAGGUUAACCGAAUAGGGGAGCCGUAGGGAAACCGAGUCUUAACUGGGCGUCUAGUUGCAAGGUAUAGACCCGAAACCCGGUGAUCUAGCCAUGGGCAGGUUGAAGGUUGGGUAACACUAACUGGAGGACCGAACCGACUAAUGUUGAAAAAUUAGCGGAUGACUUGUGGCUGGGGGUGAAAGGCCAAUCAAACCGGGAGAUAGCUGGUUCUCCCCGAAAGCUAUUUAGGUAGCGCCUCGUGAACUCAUCUUCGGGGGUAGAGCACUGUUUCGGCUAGGGGGCCAUCCGGCUUACCAAACCGAUGCAAACUCCGAAUACCGAAGAAUGUUAUCACGGGAGACACACGGCGGGUGCUAACGUCCGUCGUGAAGAGGGAAACAACCCAGACCGCCAGCUAAGGUCCCAAAGUCAUGGUUAAGUGGGAAACGAUGUGGGAAGGCACAGACAGCCAGGAUGUUGGCUUAGAAGCAGCCAUCAUUUAAAGAAAGCGUAAUAGCUCACUGGUCGAGUCGGCCUGCGCGGAAGAUGUAACGGGGCUAAACCAUGCACCGAAGCUGCGGCAGCGACACUUAGGUGUUGUUGGGUAGGGGAGCGUUCUGUAAGCCGUUGAAGGUGACCUGUGAGGGUUGCUGGAGGUAUCAGAAGUGCGAAUGCUGACAUAAGUAACGAUAAUGCGGGUGAAAAACCCGCACGCCGGAAGACCAAGGGUUCCUGUCCAACGUUAAUCGGGGCAGGGUGAGUCGACCCCUAAGGCGAGGCUGAAAAGCGUAGUCGAUGGGAAACAGGUUAAUAUUCCUGUACUUGGUGUUACUGCGAAGGGGGGACGGAGAAGGCUAGGCUGGCCGGGCGACGGUUGUCCCGGUUUAAGCGUGUAGGGGGAGUGACCAGGUAAAUCCGGUUGCUUAUCAACCCUGAGGCGUGAUGACGAUGCACCACGGUGCAGAAGCAGUUGAUGCCAUGCUUCCAGGAAAAGCCUCUAAGCAUCAGGUAACAUUAAAUCGUACCCCAAACCGACACAGGUGGUCAGGUAGAGAAUACUCAGGCGCUUGAGAGAACUCGGGUGAAGGAACUAGGCAAAAUGGUGCCGUAACUUCGGGAGAAGGCACGCUGGCGUUAGGUGAAAGGACUAGCUCCUGGAGCUGAAGCCAGUCGCAGAUACCAGCUGGCUGCAACUGUUUAAUAAAAACACAGCACUGUGCAAACACGAAAGUGGACGUAUACGGUGUGACGCCUGCCCGGUGCUGGAAGGUUAAUUGAUGGGGUCAGCCGCAAGGCGAAGCUCUUGAUCGAAGCCCCAGUAAACGGCGGCCGUAACUAUAACGGUCCUAAGGUAGCGAAAUUCCUUGUCGGGUAAGUUCCGACCUGCACGAAUGGCGUAAUGAUGGCCAGGCUGUCUCCACCCGAGACUCAGUGAAAUUGAACUCGCUGUGAAGAUGCAGUGUACCCGCGGCAAGACGGAAAGACCCCGUGAACCUUUACUAUAGCUUGACACUGAACAUUGAGCCUUGAUGUGUAGGAUAGGUGGGAGGCCUUGAAGUGUGGACGCCAGUCUGCAUGGAGCCAACCUUGAAAUACCACCCUUUAAUGUUUGAUGUUCUAACUCGGCCCCAUGAUCUGGGGUGAGGACAGUGUCUGGUGGGUAGUUUGACUGGGGCGGUCUCCUCCCAAAGAGUAACGGAGGAGCACGAAGGUUAGCUAAUCACGGUCGGACAUCGUGAGGUUAGUGCAAAGGCAUAAGCUAGCUUGACUGCGAGAGUGACGGCUCGAGCAGGUACGAAAGUAGGUCUUAGUGAUCCGGUGGUUCUGAAUGGAAGGGCCAUCGCUCAACGGAUAAAAGGUACUCCGGGGAUAACAGGCUGAUACCGCCCAAGAGUUCAUAUCGACGGCGGUGUUUGGCACCUCGAUGUCGGCUCAUCACAUCCUGGGGCUGAAGUAGGUCCCAAGGGUAUGGCUGUUCGCCAUUUAAAGUGGUACGCGAGCUGGGUUUAGAACGUCGUGAGACAGUUCGGUCCCUAUCUGCCGUGGGCGUUGGAAGAUUGAGAGGGGCUGCUCCUAGUACGAGAGGACCGGAGUGGACGAAUCACUGGUGUUCGGGUUGUCAUGCCAAUGGCAUUGCCCGGUAGCUAAAUUCGGAAGAGAUAACCGCUGAAAGCAUCUAAGCGGGAAACUUGCCUCGAGAUGAGUCUUCCCUGGGGCUUAAAGCCCCCUGAAGGAACGUUAAAGACUAUGACGUUGAUAGGCUGGGUGUGUAAGUGCAGCGAUGUAUUGAGCUAACCAGUACUAAUGAUCCGUGAGGCUUAACCUU
rnacentral:rRNA from 1 species